GACGAACGCUGGCGGCGUGCUUAACACAUGCAAGUCGAACGGAAAGGCCCUGCUUUUGUGGGGUGCUCGAGUGGCGAACGGGUGAGUAACACGUGAGUAACCUGCCCUUGACUUUGGGAUAACUUCAGGAAACUGGGGCUAAUACCGGAUAGGAGCUCCUGCUGCAUGGUGGGGGUUGGAAAGUUUCGGCGGUUGGGGAUGGACUCGCGGCUUAUCAGCUUGUUGGUGGGGUAGUGGCUUACCAAGGCUUUGACGGGUAGCCGGCCUGAGAGGGUGACCGGCCAAAGUGGGGAUGGAGAAAGGGCCAAACCCCUACGGGGGGGAAGAGGGGGGAAAAUUGGCAAAAGGGGGGGAGCCUUAUGCAGCAACGCCGGGGGGGGGAUGACGGCCUUCGGGUUUGAAACCGCUUUCGCCUGUGACGAAGGGGGAGGGGCGGGAAAGGGGAAAAAAGCACCGGCUAAAUACGUG
rnacentral:rRNA from 1 species